CAGUCGCCGCGGGAAUACGUAGGGUGCAAGCGUUAAUCGGAAUUACUGGGCGUAAAGCGUGCGCAGGCGGUUAUAUAAGACAGAUGUGAAAUCCCCGGGCUCAACCUGGGAACUGCAUUUGUGACUGUAUAGCUAGAGUACGGCAGAGGGGGAUGGAAUUCCGCGUGUAGCAGUGAAAUGCGUAGAUAUGCGGAGGAACACCGAUGGCGAAGGCAAUCCCCUGGGCCUGUACUGACGCUCAUGCACGAAAGCGUGGGGAGCAACAGGAUUAGAUACCCCGGUAGUCCCUGUCUCUUAUACA
rnacentral:rRNA from 1 species